GAGAAUAAAAAAUCCCUAGAAGAUAUACUACAUUUUUCACUAUCAUCCUUAGAAAAAAAGAAUUACGUAUCUUAGAGAUGAAAUAAAACUACUUCUCCGGGAAAAGGUAUCCAUAGUAAUAUUGUUAAUAUGUAGAAGAAAAAUCUAAAUAUAGGAUUUUUCUUUAUGUAUCAAUAUUAUGAAAUAAAGAAUAUUGUUUUGUACCCUCUUUUCUAAGUUUUAAAAUAGUUCCAAGUGAAGAUUGUGUUCAAAGUAGCCACAGACAAGAUGCUUGUAAAGACAAAAAUAAUGUUCAUUGCCCGAAGGAGAACAACUGUUGUGGUAAUAAGGCUAUUUUAAGGAGAGAAUAAGAGAGGUAUAUAUAGAAAAAUCUUUACUUCGUAAUAUUAGUAACAUAUAGUUAUAAUCUAUAUCAUCUUAUUAAUCUACAUAUAAGCAUACUACUUUAGAUACUAAGUACCUAUCGGGAGUUUAUCAUCUUGAUUAAUCAUACAGUACUGUUUAUAACAUUAUUUUUAUACUAUAAGUAUAAAUGAUAAAAGAUGAUGAUUGAAGCUCAAUAUCAUCUAAAGUUAGCCCUAAAAAGGUUAUGGAAAUAUCUAAUAGCCUUAAAUAAUCUUGAUGAAUUUAUCAUUGAGUUGGUAAAAGCCUACAAAACUGUAAAUCAACAUUUAUCUGUAUAGGAAGGAUUAUACAUAAAAUUCAAAUGAUUAGAGCACAAGAAUAUGUCUUGUAUCUAGAGGAUAAAAAUAAUAUUGAUAAAAAUAUUAUCUACACCACUUAAAUGAGCAGUAUAAAUUUCCUUCCGCAUAUUUACCCUAUAUAUAUAUAUAUACACAUACAUACAUACAUACAUACAUAUAUAUAUAUAUAUUAACUAAUCACCUGAAUCAUUUACAAAGCAAUCUAUACCACAUAGUUAGCUAAGUCUCACUGCUAGGACAACCACCCUAUCAAAAUACUACAACUAUCAACCCCAACAAACUAACAAAGUUGUCACUCUAAUGGUUGUACUACAUCUUUUGCAAAUUUGGAGCUCUAAAAUUAUAAGCAUAUGCAACAUUCUUAGUUAACCUGAAGUCAUCUACAAGAUUGGUGUUCAAAAAUUCUAAGCUUUCGCUCUUUCAAAUAGUGUGCUCAGUUUCAGCAACUACAAAUUGGAAUAUUUGGGCUAUUUAAGUAUUCCCCUUUUCACUCUUGUGUAUCAAUUGGAAAUAAAGGUCACAAUAUCCUCGUGUCAUCUUUUAUAUGCAUUCAAGUCAACACUUUAUGCCACAAUAGCCUCACAAAUAGAUACUAUAUACAAACAUGUAUUCUUUUGUUUCUCUUACAUGUUGAAAGAUGGAACAUAUGGGUUCAACCUUCACACCCCACUUGAUGAGCCUGACUUUGGUGAGCAACUUUGAUUGCAUAAGUAGCCACUAGUGAAUAUGGAUUUAGGUCUAGCAAGGUUGUCAACCAUCAAGCACUUUCAUGGCAUUCGAUCUAGCGCUCUCCCCAAUCAUUCCAAGAUAAAUUUAUUUUGUAAUACCUUAUUGUUUCUUUAUCAUGUGUUGCACUUGGUACCACUCUCUCCUAGCUUUCAAUAUUUUCCUUGUAAUCCAAUAAACUUGAGGAGGAAUAUUGAUAGCCUGCAGGUGAUGCUCCUUUAUGUAAUAAGUGUGUAUCCACGUGGUCUUCAUCUUAUCUUCUUUAUUUGUAAGAUCACAUAAUGUUUUUGUUAAGACAAUGUUGUUUCAUAGCUUUAAGUUUAUGAUGUUUAUUUAUCCCUUUUGCAGACUUGGGUAAACAUAUCCUAUCUCAAGCAACUAAAACUUUCUUGUUGUAUUUACUCCAAUCCAUUUUACCACCCUAUAAGGUGGAAAGAACAAUCGAGACCAAUUAAAUUGAGUACCAAACACUAUUAUUUGCAUUACCUGAAUUCUGUCUGCAUAAGAUAACUUCUUAGCUGUCUAUAAAGAAAUUCACUUCAUAAUCUUCCCAUAAGUGGUUGCCACUAGAUCAUAGUCAAUUUCUUAAUGAUAUUGGAACAUCUAAAUACUUAAAAGGUAAUUUUGUGUACCAACUUAUGCUAGCAUCCAUAUUCUUUUGUACCAUUGAAGAAUUCGACUGGCUAUCCUCCUACUUUGGGACCUGGUCCCAAACAAACAUAAACACCAAGAAUUUAAAUAGAAGAGUAUGUAACAGUAAAUAAACAAGGAACAUAGCAAAUUUUAGGUGGAAACUCCUUGCUUAAGGGAGAAAAACUUCGACCUGCCUUAAGGAUUUCCAACAGCUCCACUAAUAUUCAAGAAACCUUGAAUAUAGGCUCCAUGACAUCAAUGAUUAAACUCCUAAUUCUUCAUCAAAUAUUAAUACCUCUAUUACAAUGAACUCAAUGCAAUAACUCUAUUGCACACUGACCCAACUAACUCUAACUGAAUCACAAAGCUAACUCUAGAUUUUGUCAACUAAAUCUACAUAACAUUUUACCAAAAUAAUAAAAAGGAAAGCACCUAAUGAUAAUGAACUUAAAGUAGUACGCAAUGUUUCUAGACUCAAAAAUGAAGACUCAAGACAACAAGAGUUCUAAGGGACUGGCAAUGACUAAGUAGGUCCCUUAUUGUUGAUAAGCUUUUGAAUCAGCAAAGCUUCAACAGAUUUGAUGUGUUUUGGGAUAUGGAUGCAUUAAGUUUUUUUAUUGUUGAAAUGAGCAUUUAUAAGAGACAAGAAAACCUAGGAUUAAUCUUAUUGGUUGAGACAAAAAGGGUACAAGGCUUUUCAUCAACUUUUCUACGGUGUACUAUGUCCAUCUAUAGUACUGACCAAUGUCAAUGACGUGAAAUACGGUCAACUAGGUCCUUAAGUAGUUGUCGCUUUUGUCAUCACAAGAUCUUCAAGAACCAGGUCCCAAGGGAUAAUUUGUCAAUCAUCAAACUAAUGACUACACAGACUAUACCCCUCAUCUACACAUUAUACCCCUUAUCUUCCCUCUUUUGGAAUCAUAAAAGUCCUAAAAUAGUGAACCAAGUAGAGAUAAGCACACAUGUUAGCACAUGGACAUGGAGGCUACACUGACAUGAGCACAAAAAAUAAGAGAAAGUAAGAGAGAUGAUAACACAAAGCAGAUUCAUUCAUUUUUCAUAGAGGAUAGCAUCAUACAAAAUUUAAAAAAGAUAAUAGCAUUAAAAAACAAAAAUAGUAGUGUCAACACAACAAGAAAAAAACUUAAGGAGGCCAGACUUGGCGAGGCUUAAAAGGGGAAAAAACUGAGGACUCGAUUAGGGAGACACCUAGGAGGAAUGACCGAAAGGAGUUUGGGACAAUUAGUGAAGAAGCAUGGUUAUUCUCUCACUUUCUGGAAUAUGAGUCUUUAGGAGUUGUUGAGUUAAAUCCUUGAUAUUUGCAGUCGAAACCUCAACUUUUGCCUCCAAUUUCUUUAGAUUCUCAUACAAUUCUGCAUUUUCAGCACUUAAUUCUCUAUUGAACCUAGUCCCUCAUCGCUCCUUUUCACUAAGGAUGCCUUCAGAGAAAAAAAUUCUAUAUUUUUUUGUGCUACAAUGGCUUCCAUCUCAUCCAAUUAUUCCCCCAUCCCAGUUUGAACAUCAAUAAGCUCGACAACUAUGGAUUUGGAUUUCCCUUCACCUCUGCUAGGGAUGCAUUCAUUAUCAUCCAUGGUUGUUACAUUGAACACUUGAUUUACUGAACCUGUCUUUCAAAGGCCACACUAAUGUUAAAGUACAAACAGAUUUGGUUAAUCCAAAACACAUAGUUCAAUCCAUGUUUUCUAUCUUUUAUUGUCAUCACUGUGUUUAUAUGCUCAAUCACAGUAGCUAGGAAAUUUACCUUUUGAUAUUUGUACAUGGCCUUCAUAAAUGUAAUACCCCGACUUCCUUUAAGUCAAAUCUAGUCUCCAGAAGAGUUACUGAUGACAUCCUAAAUGAUUAAUAUUUAAAUCAGAUAGAAUUUCCCCAUUCCAUCAAAAUCUGACAUGGGAAUUUGAAUAAGCUUUCCAUCGAUACCCAUUCCGUCAAAAUCCAACGUAGAAAGAGAAAUUUAUGGCCAAAAUACAGAAAUCAGUCAAAACUGCCCAGGUGUGACGGUAGAGGCCGACGGACCAUCAAGCUAGCGAUGGACCGUCGCCCAAGCUAUCGCAGUGAAGGUAGUAAGACCAUAUUCUGCCUAAGGGCAACGGCUCAGGCCGACAGACCAUCAAGCUAGUGAUGGACCGUCGCCCAAGCCAUCAUAGCAGAGGCAGUAAACCCUUAUUCUGCCUAGGUACGACGGCCAAAACCAACGGACCAUCGACCCAGCAAUGGACCAUCGCACCUACCGUCAUAUAUUUGGUUCAGUUAUUUUAAGUCAUUUUUAAAAUGGGGAUUUUUGGUAUUUUACCACACUUUCUAAUACCUAGUUUUAUCAGAUGAAGGCUUAUAAGUUCAUUAUCCAUCUACAACAUCAAAUUAGGGUUUUCUCUCAAAGAUAAUCCCCAAGAACAAGAUCCAAAUCCUUCUUCAAGAAACUAAGAGAUUCAAGUUCUUCAAGUCAAAGGACUUCAAGGAACUCACAACCUAGUAUGUCAUGUGUUGAUCCAUGGGUCCCUUUCACCCAUGAAGCUCAAGAAUAUCUUUUCAAAAUCCAAGAUUUGUGUAUGUAUGAAUGUUUAUGAUUUAAAUUGAAUUGAAAUAUAAUGUUCAUGAUGUUGUGGGGUUUUGAUUCAUGUUUGAAAUUACAUAUUCCAAUGAUUGACCCUAGGAUGUCGUGAUUUGCAUAAUAAUCAUGAUAAGACCUUAAAUUUAGAUGUUGAUUGAUGUAUCCAUGAUUAUUAGAUGUGUUGAUGAUUGUAUAACCAAAGCAUGCUCCCAAUGUGUUCAAUUAAAAUCCUAUGUGAAGGAAAAGUGCCAUACUAGUAUGAUAAUAUGAAAUCCCCAUUUAUGUACAAGUUUAUGCAUGUCAAAUGUUUGAUGAAAUGUCUUAGUCAGUGAAUUAAGGAUACAUGUGUAACCCUUGUGGUGAUUUAUAACUUCUACUUCAUGAAAUCUCCAAGUUAUUGUAUUAUGGAUUGUGAUGUUGGUCAUGUAUUCAAGAAAGUCAUGCUUUGUCAGUUUCAUGCUAUCGAGUCCUGGGGGUACUUAUACCCUACAAUUUAGAUGUGUGUCUAGAGCCAGUGUUAUGUUUUCAAGAUACUCUCAGUCGAUCCAUGUUCAUAGAAAUUCAGUCAGUCAUGUGACUCAAGAAAACUCAAUAAUCUCAGUAGUAUUCUGUCAGUUAAUAGAACUCGGUUAAUUCAGUUUAGUCCAGUUUAGUUAAUCAUGUUCAGUGUCUAUUCAGAUGAGAGUAGGAAUUAGUAUCGAGUGAAACCAAGGAUGGGAACACACACUGUCAGAUGAGGGUGUGAUUCUUAAAAGUCAUCCUUACAUUCCAAAACUAUGUAGCCAGCAUAUGUUCAGACAUCAACACUGUCAGAUGAGGGUUGACAGUGUUGAUGAGGUAGAUAAGCACUGUCAGAUGAGGGGCCCACCAUUCUCUUUUAGGGUACUGUUAGAUUAGGGUUACCCAUAGAUUGUCAUUACUAGUGGGGCGGUAUUGACACCCUUUCAAUUAGGGUUACAAAUUAGAUCCCACCUUAGCUAUAUUACUUUAUUUGGGGUAUGUCGAUUAGAUGAAUACUUUCCAUAGUUUUAGUUAUAGAUCAGGACUGUCUGAUACAGUUAUUCAUUCUCAAUAAUAGAACUCAGAUAGUUCUACAGAAUUUAGGACUGUCAGAUACAGUCAAUUCAGAAUAGAACGGAACUCAGCUAGUUCCAUCAGAAACUAGAUUGUCAGAUACAGUCACUCAGUAUUAGUUAUUUAGUUAUACAGUUAUUAGUAUCUCUUGUUAUCAAUACUCAGAUUUAGUAAUCAUGUUAUCAUGAAAUCAGUUAUAGUUGUUAUGUAUUCAUGCAUGCGUUCUCACGUUCAUGUUAUCCAGCCAGUAAGUAUAGUUCAUGCAUGUGAGCCCUUUGCAUUCAGCCUACCUCACAUGCAUACCAGUAUAUUCAAUUGUACUAACACAUUUGUACUAUGGUGUUUUAGACCGUAGGUUCAGAAGCAUGAGCUCCAGAGCAUCAGUAGCAGUCAUAGUUAGUAGUGAGUCUUCAUCCUUCGAGGACAUGAUUAUUAUUUUAUUAUUUCAUUACUUAGUUUAUUUCAGUAGUUGGAGUUGGUUAGGGACAUGUCCCAUCAACUCCUUAUUUAGACAGUUUAGUUAGUUAGAGGCUUUUCAAACUAUAGUAUGUUCAGAUAGUUUAUUUUAGUUGUUUUGGGUAUUUCAUACCCCACCCAGAUGUUAUAUUUUAUUAGAUACUAUGUCUCAGUUUUGAACCUUAUGGCCUUUCAUCCUUUAUUUCCAUAUUUAUAUAGUAUAUUAAGCAGUAUACAGGUACAGAUAUUAGUCAUAGGUUAGCUUAUGGUCCUUUGGGGUCAUUAGCACCGUGUGGCAUUUCGGGUACGAGACUCACAGUGUUACAAUAAGGAAUAGGUUGGAAAAUAUCACUGUAGUCCUCUUCUAUAUAUGAGGAAGGAGCACCUUGUUUACCAACUCAAAAAUAAAUUGGUAUUCCCCUUCCAAAGCCUUCGUGGUCAUAUUUUUAGUAUUCAUAUCAUCUAGCUUUCUGUAGAUUUUUAGAAAAAAAUUUUAACCCUUUUUAUUACUUAGGUACCUGGUACCUUCAGUAGGUAUUCCAAGAAUCUCAAACAAUACUUAUUUAUCAAUUGUAAUGCUCACCUCAUUGAUUUGAGUAUUCAAUUAUAAAUCAUCAGCAGAGAAGGCUAGAUUGUGAUAAACAUUCUAAAAAAAAUUUCAUAUAGGGUAGGAACAGGAAACUCAAAAUGGUGUUCCUAACUUUAAAACUUUACCCAAUCCAACAACACAGUAUUCCUAGCAUAGCAGCACUAUCAGGGUCAAAAACUCAACCCCUUAAGACUUAAUUAGUCUUGAGAAUCUCCUAUCUGGAAUCCCUUGACAAACCCUUCUCUUUUUCUUUAGAAGAAGCUUUUCCAGAGGGACCAGUUCCUUUUGUAGAAACCCCAGGGUCUCUUAAGGUCUUAGAAGAUUUAGAAUUAGGACCUGGUCCUCGGUGCUAGACUUCUCAGUCCUUUUCCUCUGACCAAUGCUCGUGGUUAUAUGUUUAUUGAUCAUUACUCCUUUGGAUUUCUCUUUUUUGGGGAGAAACAAUAGCUUUUCUUUUGUGUUAGCUUUGGUGGUAGCCAUACUCUUUUCAAUAUUAAAAUUGUCAUCAACAUCCUCAUACAUAUCAUAGUUAUCAAACAUACUUCUAAAAAUAUUUUAAAGUCACUAUCAGAACUGUCAUUAAAAUCACUCUAAGUCUCCUUAUCAGAUUUCUCAACUGUCACACCCUUUUCAACUAGAGGUUCAACUACAAUCACUCUCUUCUUUUUCAACAUCCUCCUUUUCUUAGUAUUAUUUUUGUUUUCUUCCAAGGCUUCUUUCAUCAACUUCCAUGAAUUCAACCUAGUCCCUGGAGGUUUAACAGGUUUGGGUGGAGCUUUGGUAAAAGAAAAGGAUCCCUUCUUAGAUAUUUUUCAUGAUAAGGGUUGGUUAUCCUCACUAUUAGUAUCUUCUUUUUCAUUCGUAUCUCCACCAAACAGGUCGAGAACAGGGGAGAACAUUAUAGAAGAAAACACUAAGUUGUUAUCCUCAGCAUUCUCAGGAGGAUCAUUUUGCCUUCUUGUGAACAAUUUUACAGGAGUUGUCUCCCACUUUGGUGAGUCUAGAGUGCUAGGGUAUUUAGGAGGUUCUAUACUAAGGGUAGCGAGAUCUUGAACCCUAAUUUCCUCGCUUAUGGGAAGGAUGCUUAAAAAAGUUCCCUAAGAAGUCGACAAAUCCCCAUCAAACAUAUUUUUGUGAAUAGAGGCACUCCUAAACUUACUAGGUAACUUACCCUUAUCAGGAGAUACGCAUUGGAAGGAGAGUCCAAAACUGACUCAGAGGGAACUAAUUAAUUUGGGAUAGAAGGAAUUUCUUCAGAGACUUUGUCUUUGGAAGAGUUGAUUUUAGGGUCUUCUUAGAGACUUUGUCUUUGGAAGGAUCGAUUUUAGGGUCAGGGAUGGAGGGUGCAUCUUGGUUAGUUUUCCCUGAAAAGAAUGCAUCAGAUCAAUCCUUCUUUUUUUUGCACUAUCUUCUCUGGAAAUUUUAGGAAAGAAAAGGGGAAAGAACUUUGUAAUGGAAAAAGGAUUUUGAGAUUGAAAAUCAAAAGGAGGGGAUGGAGAAUCAACCACUUAUAAAGAAGAGGGCUCUUUUUGAGGAGGAAAUGAUAGUGGUAGAUUCGACAUGAUAGCUUAGAAAGAAUAUUAGGAAGAUUUAAGAUUUGAAAUAAGAUGAAGAAUGGGAAAAAGUUUGAAAACGAAUAGGCUACAAUUGGGAAGAUUUUUUAAAAUGGAUAGAUGAGAGAUUAGGCAUAACUUAAAUGGGAAAGAAGAGAAUGAUUCAAAUUUAGUGAAGGGUUGUGGUUGAUAAGAUGUGUUAGGUCAGAUGAGCGCGCCCUUUAGACUCAAAGUGGGGGUUACAACUUUUAAGAAUGGGAGGGAUAUGAUGUAGCAGACUUGUCACUUAAUUUAAAAAGCUACCGCUUAAGAAUAUGGUUUGAUACCAAAUGAAUGAGGGAUCUGGUCCCUCUAUGAAUUUCUGUGCAUAAUGAGCUUUGAGAUGUCUCAUCCCCCUCCGUUCUUCUCUUUCUUUCCAUGGUAUAUAUCAACAGAAGAUAUGAGACUGAAUUAGACAUAUGUUACAUUAUCAUACAAGGAUACCUUCUUAUCAAUUCAUAGCCACGUUGGGGGAUUAAUAUAAAUAACAUGCAUUUAGCUUGGUCUCAUUAUCCUCAGCUUUGUCUCAUUCUUUUCAAAUUGUUCCCUGCAAAGACCCUUAGUGAAUAUAUAUAUAAUUUGGUCUUAGAUACUUGAAAACCCCAUCUUAAUUAAUCCUUUCUCCAUAUUAUCUCUGGGAAAGUGAUGCCUGAUAUCAAUAUGCUUGGUUCUCUUGUGUUGAACUGGAUUUUUGGACAUGUUUACUGCACUUGUGUUGUCACAGGAUUGGGUAACACAAUCUAAGAUUAUACUUAAAUCUUCAAGUUGCCUCUUGAUCCAAAGUAAUUGAGCACAACAUGAAGUAGCUACAAUAAAUUUAGCUUCAGUAUUUGAAAGAGCCACUAAAUUUUGCUUCUUAGUACCCUAGAAAAUCAAGGAUGAUCUAAGAAAGUGAGACAUACUUGAGGUACUCUUUCUAUCAAUUAGGUACCCAGCAUAGUUAGAAUCUGCAUACCCAACCAAGUCAAAUUUAUCACCAGUAGGAUAGAAGAGGACCAAGUCAGGAGUUCCAUUGAGAAAUUUGAGAAUCCCUUUUAUAACUUUCAAGUGAGGAUGCCUUAGGACUUGCUUGGAACCUAGCACAUAUCCCAAUACUAAAUGUAAUGUUAGUUUUAUUAGUUGUCAAUUGGAGAAAUAAGACAAUGAUUCCUUUGUGCGUAGUUUCAUUAACAGAGGAACCAGGUUCAUCCAAGUCCAGAUUGGAGAAAGUUCUAAUAGGAGUGUCAAUAGGCUUUGCAUCCUCCAUGUGGAACCUUUUGAGCAACUCAUGAAUGUACUUCUGCUAACAUAUUUUAGUCCCAGUUGCACUUCGCAUAAUUUGUAGUCCAAGGAAUAAAUUGAGUUCUCCCAUCAUGCUCAUAUCAAACUAACUACUCAUUAACUUUGCAAACUUAUCACAUAGGGAAUUGAUUGUAGCUCUACUUUACAAACAAUUCUCCUUUGAGCAUCCCAUUCAGAAAAGCACUCUUAACAUCUAUUUUGAUUAAUUUGAAUUCUAUGUGUAAGACCUCGCAAAAUUCUAAGCUUGACUUAGUCCAUUAAAGAUUGAAAAUAGACCCCAGACUUAGAAAUUUUAGCUAAGUGUUUACACUUAGAAUUAUUUUAUCCUUCAUAAGUUGGCAAUCUUAUUUCACGAUCCAUACGACCUUUAAAUGUCAUUUUUUAGGUUGAUCCAUGAUCAGGAAUGUCAGUAGGUGUCCUAGACAAGUUUCAGAAUUUUGGGACCUCGUUUAAAUCAAGUUUGGGAGUCCAAACUAAUGGAUCGAUGUGAUAUCGACGAGACACACCGACUAUCACAGCGAUAAAUAUUUUUUCCAUCCAUAGCAUCGAUCCCAUUGAGUUGGUACAUCAGCCAUAGCAUCGAUCUCAUCGAUGAGGCACAUCGAGUUGCGCAUCACUGGGCACACUUUCUGUCAUUAAAAGGCACAUCCAGAGGGGUAUUUGGGUCAUUUUUCACCCUUAAUCAGCCCAUAAAUACAAAAUUCAGCCCUCAAUAAGCAAAAUACACUCACUUUCUGUCAAAUUCUCUCAAGACACAAACCCUAACCCAACACAGUCAAAAUCAAGAUCCAAGAAAUUCACCAUCAAUCUUCACAAAUUCAAGCAUCAAGGCAUGUUAGGUGUUCAUCCAAGGGUUUUCUUCCAUCCUUGGAGUUCAAGAACCCCUUUUAAAUUUAUAAGUUGAUUUCUUUCAUGAAUUUCAUGGUGAAUUAAUUGUAUUCAUGAUUAUGAUGUUAUUUGGGUUUUUAAUCCAUGAUUUAGUACAAGAUUCAUGUAAAUUUAUUUGACAUGUGUGUGGUAUUAUGUGAAUUUAUGUUUAAGCCAUUGAAAUUGUAAGUUGGGGUUUUGAAAUCAUGAGGCCUACAUGUUAUUUAGUAUCAUGUGUAUAGAUUAUGUUCCCCAAAUAUUUGAUAGAAUGCCCUUGUGAUUAAACGGUGAAAUAAUGACAUUCUAGUAUAUGUACAAGCUUAUGCCCUACAGGUGUUAGAUGAAAUGCUUAUGUGAUUUGACCAGUGAAAUAAUGACAUGUUAUGUGAAUCCUUCCAUUCACAAGUUUGUGUAUGUCAAGUGAUUGACAAAAUGUCUAAAUGAGUGCAUUGUUAGCAAGCAAGUAUUGUUAUGCCUUUAUAAUCAUGCUAUGUUUUACUUUCCAUGCUAUCGAGUCCUGGAGGUAUUUAAUACCCAAUAAUUUAGCAUUGCACCUAGAUCCAGUGUCAGUUAUAGAAUCUCAGUCAUGUCACAAUCAGUAGUACUCUCAAUCAGUUACAGAACUCAAUAGAACUUGAUCAGCUAUAGAAUUUAGGAAAACUCAGUAAUCUCAAGUAUCAGUCCUGUCCUGUUUAGUAUACUCAAUUCAAUGUCUUUUAGUUGGGAGUAGGAUUCAGCAUCGAGUGAUCCUAGGGAUCGGGCCUCACUUGUUAUCUAGGACUAGGUCCCUAGAAGCAAUCCCUAAGUUCCAAAACUACGUAGCCAGUGUAGGUUAUGAGAUGCCACCUGCUAGAUAGGACUGACAAUCUCUGGGAUUACUCGUUAGUUAGGACUGAUCUCAGGAGUCACCCUCUAGAUUAGGACUAACUCCACAGCCAGUGUUAGUACCCGUGGCAUGGUACUAGCACCCUUCCAACUGGGGUCACAGGUUGGAAUCCUAUCAACUUAGAUUUGGGACAUAUCGGUUAGAUGAUUACCUCCCACAGUUUUAGUUUUAGUCUCAGUAUAGAACUCAGUUCAGUUCUACAAAAUCAGGACUAUCAAACACAGUCACCUAGCUUAGUAUAGAACUCAGUUCAGUUCUAUAGAAUCAAGACUGUCAGAAAUAGUCACCCAGCUAUCAGUAACACAGUUAUUAGUAAUUUUAGAUAUCAUUCACUCAGUUAAUAUCAGAACUACAGUAUUAGUAAACUUAAAUAUUAGUUAAUCAGUAACCAGUGUUAACAUGAUCUCAGUUAUAUUUUAUAUAUUCAUCUAUGUACUCUUAUUCAGUUACGUCUAUGUUACUCAACUAGUUGAUAUCCAUGCAUAUAAACCCAUGGAUAUAAGCCCACCUCACUUAGAAUACCAGUACAUUCAAAGUACUGACUCAUAUUUUUCUUUUGUGCUAUGAUGUCUUAUAUCAUAGGUUCAGACGCACGGGCUCUUAACCACUCUUAGCAGCCUGGAUUAUUAGCAGAAAAUUUAGUAGUGAGUCCUCAUCUAUCAAGGGCAUGCUUUUAUUUCAGUUAUUAGUUUAUCAGUAGUUGGAGUUAGUUGGGGGCUUGUCCCAUCUACUCCAUAUUCCGACAGUUCAGUUAGAGGCUUUUCAUACUAGACUUUCAGAUAGUAUUCAAUUGUACAACUUAUUAUUUCAGCUGCUAUUUUGUUUAGUAUUUCAGGUUUUGAACCUUAUGGCAUUUCAUCCUAUUUUUUUGUAUUUAUUUUAAUGAUGUUACUUAUUUCUCAUAGUAGAUAUCAGUCAUGAGUUAGCUUGUGGUCCUUUGGGGUCAUAAGCAUCGUGUAUCAU
rnacentral:lncRNA from 1 species